rnacentral:ribozyme from 1 species
UGCACAGCAACUCCUAUGCCUACCUUCUCGUGGUACUGGCCGGGGUACGAGUAACCUUGGGGAAGAUCGGGUAACCAACCCCCGGUGGGAACUUUGGUCGUAUGCUGACAGAGAAAG